rnacentral:rRNA from 1 species
GCAGCGAUGCCGCGUGAGUGAAGAAGGCCUUUGGGUUGUAAAGCUCUUUCGUCGGGGAAGAAAAUGACUGUACCCGAAUAAGAAGGUCCGGCUAACUUCGUGCCAGCAGCCGCGGUAAUACGAAGGGACCUAGCGUAGUUCGGAAUUACUGGGCUUAAAGAGUUCGUAGGUGGUUGAAAAAGUUAGUGGUGAAAUCCCAGAGCUUAACUCUGGAACUGCCAUUAAAACUUUUCAGCUAGAGUAUGAUAGAGGAAAGCAGAAUUUCUAGUGUAGAGGUGAAAUUCGUAGAUAUUAGAAAGAAUACCAAUUGCGAAGGCAGCUUUCUGGAUCAUUACUGACACUGAGGAACGAAAGCAUGGGUAGCGAAGAGGAUUAGAUACCCUCGUAGUCCAUGCCGUAAACGAUGUGUGUUAGACGUUGGAAAUUUAUUUUCAGUGUCGCAGGGAAACCGAUAAACACACCGCCUGGGGAGUACGACCGCAAGGUUAAAACUCAAAUGAAUUGACGGGGACCCGCACAAGUAGUGGAGCAUGUGGUUUAAUUCGAAGAUACGCGCAGAACCUUACCAACACUUGACAUGUUCGUCGCGACUCUAAGAGAUUAGAGUUUUCGGUUCGGCCGGACGAAACACAGGUGCUGCAUGGCUGUCGUCAGCUCGUGUCGUGAGAUGUUGGGUUAAGUCCCGCAACGAGCGCAACCCUC